AUCGGGCCCAUACCCCGAAAAUGAUGGUUCAACCCCUUCCCCUGCUA
rnacentral:tRNA from 3 species